UACGGAGGGGACUAGCGUUGUUCGGAAUUACUGGGCGUAAAGCGCACGUAGGCGGAUUUGUAAGUCAGGGGUGAAAUCCCCGGGCUCAACCUGGGAAUGGCAUUUGGGACUGCAAGGCUUGAGUGCGGCAGAGGAGACUGGAAUUCCUGGUGUAGCAGUGAAAUGCGUAGAUAUCAGGAGGAAUACCGAUGGCGAAGGCAGGUCUCUGGGCUGACACUGACGCUCAUGCACGAAAGCGUGGGGAGCAAACAGG
rnacentral:rRNA from 1 species